UGGGUCAUCCCUGUGAAGACGGUAAAUGGU
rnacentral:piRNA from 1 species